UCUUUCCUUUCCAAGGCGAGGACGGCCGGGUUUUGAAGAUCUCAGCCGGCGUCAGGCAUGUGCAGCUCCCGGCCUACUCAGAGGUCAGCUUCUUCAAAGUGGACAAGGACAACCAAGAGGCACCCAUCCAGACCCCGUUGUCUGGGGACCUGGAGCCCAGAGCUGCCCUGGAAAGUGCCAGAGAUCCGCUGUUCCACAUGGGAGACCUGGAGACAGCGCUGGCAUCAGACGCCUCUCGUGGCCAGAGGGACGUCCCCAGUGGCCUUCCCGGGAAUGUUUCCAACUGAUGUGAGUGGUCCCUCUUUUCCAUUUGUGGAACAAAUGGUUUUGAGCAUUCAUCAGAUGGGAUCUACGAAGACUCAUCCAUAACUGUAAGAUGAUUUUCAAAAUCAAGGUGCCCUUUGCCGCUAAUCCAAUUUUGGCAAUAAAAGUGACGGAAUGUGUAGCA
rnacentral:lncRNA from 1 species